rfam:Coccomyxa subellipsoidea C-169, whole genome shotgun sequence.
GUCGGCGUGGCGAAAUGGAUACCGCGUUUGCCUCCGAAGCAAAAGAUUCCGAGUUCGAGUCUCGGCGUCGACU